rnacentral:pre_miRNA from 1 species
AGUCACGCAUUUAUGCGGCAGCAUAGGACUGAACUGUGGGAGAACUUAUAUGAUUCUACCCCUUUUCAUACUUAUGCUGCUUCAGAGGUGAAUUCACAA